UCCGAUAUGGUGUAACGGUAACAUACGCGCCUCUCAUCUCCCAUAAGGACGCUAGAGUUUUCGCGCGUGCCCGGGGUUCGAUUCCCCGUGUCGGAA